rnacentral:rRNA from 1 species
GACGGAGGGGGCUAGCGUUGUUCGGAAUUACUGGGCGUAAAGGGCUCGUAGGCGGCCAACUAAGUCAUACGUGAAAUCCCUCGGCUUAACCGGGGAACUGCGUCUGAUACUGGAUGGCUUGAGUUCAGGAGAGGGAUGCGGAAUUCCAGGUGUAGCGGUGAAAUGCGUAGAUAUCUGGAGGAACACCGGUGGCGAAGGCGGCAUCCUGGACCGAUACUGACGCUGAGGAGCGAAAGCCAGGGGAGCAAACGGG